GAAAUGCGAUACGCAAUGCGAAUUGCAGAAUUCCGCGAAUCAUCAGAUCCUUGAACGCAACUGGCGCUGGAGGGAUAUCCCUCCAGCAUGUCUGUUUCAGUGUCUGAAAACUUCCCCAAUAAUUUAAUGUGUUUGACAAGGAGUAGUUCGUUUUAUGAUGAGCUACAUUUUAACCAAGUCUUACAUGAAAGAUGUAUGUGUGGGUCUUUGGAUCCAUCGAAUUGGUCAUCGAUUCUUCGGUGAUUUCGAUUGGAUAUCACCAAUUACUCGUAUACACAUAGAAAACAAUACAUAUCUUUAUCAUCUGCAUCUGAAAUCAGGCAAGAAAACCCGCUGAACUUAA
rnacentral:misc_RNA from 1 species